UGCAGUCGAACGGUAACAGGAAAUAGCUUGCUAUUUUGCUGACGAGUGGCGCACGGGUGCGUAACGCGUAUACAAUCUACCUUUUGCUGAGGGAUAGCCCAGAGAAAUUUGGAUUAAUACCUCAUGGUAUUAUUGAUAGGCAUCUAUUAAUAAUUAAAGGUUACGGCAAAAGAUGAGUAUGCGUCCCAUUAGCUAGUUGGUGAAGUAACGGUUCACCAAGGCAACGAUGGGUAGGGGUCCUGAGAGGGAGAUCCCCCACACUGGUACUGAGACACGGACCAGACUCCUACGGGAGGCAGCAGUGAGGAAUAUUGGACAAUGGGCGAGAGCCUGAUCCAGCCAUGCCGCGUGCAGGAAGACUGCCCUAUGGGUUGUAAACUGCUUUUAUACAGGAAGAAUAAGCCUUACGUGUAAGGUGAUGACGGUACUGUAAGAAUAAGGACCGGCUAACUCCGUGCCAGCAGCCGCGGUAAUACGGAGGGUCCGAGCGUUAUCCGGAAUUAUUGGGUUUAAAGGGUCCGUAGGCGGAUGAUUAAGUCAGGGGUGAAAGUUUGCAGCUCAACUGUAAAAUUGCCUUUGAUACUGGUCAUCUUGAGUUGUAUUGAAGUA
rnacentral:rRNA from 1 species